ensembl:lncRNA
CCCUCCCUAACCUCAUUUAAGGGCUGGCAGCCAUAAGGGAAGCAUCUCUGCUUGGAGACUGCCUCCUUUGGAAGUUUCUAGAAAGGUCUGGUCCUGAAAAAGGGUACCCAUCAUGCCCAUUCCUAAACCAUGGAGCAGCACCUAUGGCCUCUGAAGCAGCAGGAUGCUGUGGCAUUCAUAGCCUCUCCCCCGUACUCCACUUGAAAGGGAUUUUAGAUGGGGGCUUGGCUCUUUGAAGCACGGACCAGCCAUAUGUUCUCCCCCUGUGCAGUGCCUGAUCCAUCCGUUCUUGGUCCAUGAUUAAAGAUCCUGAACAAAAGAAGAGGAAAAGAAGAUGGUUCCCCUGGGAUGCUCUUGAAGAGUUCUUCUCUGACAUUCUGCUGUCAUUAAGACAUCCUAAUUCCGGGUGGAUUCUCAGAGUUCUCAUCAGGCUCAGCAGGUUGUUCGGCUUCUCUGUGAGACUACAGGGAAAUGUCAACAAAUUAAUUGCACCCACUGUUAAAAGGGGCUUCAAAAGCUGUUCUCAAUCAUCUGCUUUAUCCAAAUACUGUGUGUGGGAGGUUGUGUUGUUUACUACCAGCUAUCAUCUAUAUUACCAUAGCACCUAAGAGCCUCGGAAAUGUAGAGGGCUCCAUUGCAGGGAUGCAACGAAGAGAGAGAAAAAAAAGACCAUCACAGUCUCCAAAUAUCCUCUCAGGUGUUAAUCCUUUCACACAACCUGAAGUAAAAAACAGUGCAACUCAACCAUUCUCACCUCUUUAAAACUUUCACCUUUUCUUUCUAGGUGAAAGUAGGUCUUAGAGCCUUUUUGUUACUCAUCUGCUGCCCUUUCAAGUUUUAUCUGCAAGACACUAGAUAGGGUUAAGCCUAACACUGAAUAUGUAUCUUUUUAUUUCAGCUCAAACUGCAUUGUUGGCAGGGUGAUGUUACCUUGAUAACAUUGUAACAUGGGGUGCUUUGCAUAUAUUGGGAUCUGUAUCCUUCUAAUUAUCCAACGACUAGAUAAUCUUCAAGGGCAGGAAUUUUCCAAAUGGUCUGGAAUGCAGGCUGCAGAUAAACAGAUAAUAUCCUAGUGAGGUAAAAGCAAACCAAAUAUGGUGUUCUGGAAUGAGAUGCAGCACUGUCAGUUUGGAACACACAAUACAAUCUGUAUAUUAAAAAAGUAAAUUAAGCAAUUUUUUCAGUUACAAGACAACCUUACUGCAGAGGUCCAGCUCAUUUUUUUUUUUCAACCAGGUAGUAUGAGAGCAGUUUCCCUUUGUGGGUGCACAGGUUGUUGCUGUUAAUAGGACCGAGUCGGUGCUCUAUGCCUGGAGAGUGGUUUUCAACCUUGUAAUCCACAUACCCUUGGAAUUCCUUAGGCUAAUUCCAGAGGCUCUUGGAAGAGCCUUAUAAAUAGGCUCCCAACAACUCAAGAGUGGUCCUCACAAUCAUUGGAAAAAAGUUUUGAGGAGCUUGUUUUUUCCCUUUUCCCUAAACAAAAUAAAGCCAAGCUGUUCUGCAGGACGCGUGAUUUCAAUUUCUGAAGAUUGCUUGGGGCUUCGGUGAAGUCGGUGUAAAGAAGGCUGUAUAUUUACCCAGGUAGACCAGUAACCACCUGCAGGACAGAUCCAAGCCUUCUCAUUUCACCCUUUCUGGUAGGAAACAUUGUCAGGAUUCAGCAAACCGUUUGCCUUGAGUUUUCUGCAUCUGCUGGCGAAGGUCCAUUAUUUCUUUUGCUCGUAUUUUGUUUAUAACAGAGAAUGAAACAUGAGGCAGCAGUGCUGUCCCUUACAAGGGAAAAACUGAAAAUCCAAAGCGAUCUCAUGACUCCAAACAGAAUCAGAUGAUAAGCCUGGGAAGCUUACCCAGCUAUGAUGGUGCCUUGUACCAAUCAACAGCUCAGGAUUAGUAGGAUUAAAGUAAAUCUUAUUUCUGGCCAUCCAUGUCUGAAUUUCAGUUUGGCAUCUGGUCAACAAAGCAACCGCCUUUUGCAAGGUAGUGUGACAAAUUUCUUUUUCCAUAAACAUUAUGGAAAAAAAAAGAAAAAAGAAAAAAAGGAUGUUCUUGAAAAGUCUGUGAAGUGCUCUGCAUUACCUGUGCAGAUGGUGCUAAAAUUGGAGCAGAACAAAAUGCUCAACUUUCAUCUUAUAAAAGAGCAAAGCAGAAACACAUCAUGUCGUCUCACGCUUACGUCUGCUCAGGUGAGGGAGGAGAAGCACUUCUUAUACCACACCCAAGUCCUCCAGAUGAAGAAUUUGUAUGAGUAUUCUCUUCUCUUUUAUACCUUGUGUAUGCAAUUGUGGAUGAGUAUUGGCUGACACACUUCAGUUCUUAGCCAGACGAAACGGGGAAGUUCAAGGACAUGAAAAGGACAUGGGUAUGCACAAAAGUGAAGGAACUGGUAUUUUGCAGUUGCAAAGGUGCUGAGAUUGCAAGCUUUAAACAAAGCGUGGUGUUCACAGCCACGUGAGUGUGCUUAGGUUUUGAAUGAUCUUUGCCAGAAGCUUUCCUCUUCAACAGAGACUCCAUUUCUAACAAAAACAGCUUUAAAUCCGAUUCUUCAUAGUGUUAACUUCUCAGAACAAGGACAUUUCUUAAAGAUCUCUCAGUGUUUUCCAGAAACUCUGCUCUCUCUUGCGCUUGCGGCUACUGGUUGACUCCUCAGUACUCAGGUAUCACAUGGAGGCAUGCCCCAUGUGCAAACGUGUCCAAACCAGCAUGGUGAAGGCAGCAGAGCAUAGUCCCAGCACAGGAACAAAUGAACUGCGUUUCUCUUGCCUACAGGCUUCUCCUCUGGACCGUGGAGUUGCUGAGUUUGAUAAAUACUAACGGCUAAAAAAUACACACCACAUUUAUAGUAGAUAGGAAAUGCCAGAUCUGCAUUUUGAAUGUCUCCAAUUCCAUCCCAACUCAGUGUGGCUAUCUGAAGCAUCAAGUAUCUAUUACCUGAAACCAAUAGGCCUUUUUAACCUUCCCCAGUGAAGCACUACUCAGGAUGAUUAACAGUGGUAGGGGCUGCUCUUUGAGCAGUUAAAUGCUGUAUUUUGAAAUCCCAUCAGACAGGGCUUAAUGUCUUCACAUUGAUAACCACUCCUUGGAUACCUCCUCAAUUCUUUGCUCUCAGUGCUAAGUGAAGAGGGAGCUACCCACUCCCUGCUUUAUGGCCUGAAAGUUUCUGAGCUAGAAUGUUAGUCAUUAAAAAUGACAGAGCUUGACCAGCGUCAAGAGCAUAACAUCUGACCUGGUGUGUAUAGUUAUUUUGUUCAGUUAAAACCAUGCUUUUAGGAAUAGGUGGCUGUAUAUAUGGUCUGUCUGCAACUCUAUCCAUCCCCAGUGGCCCGAGGGCUGCUGCUGCUGCUGUCUUCUGGAAGCAAAGAGGAAUAGCAGCUUUUUAAUCUGAAUACAACCAGGUAUGAAGAUUAUGCUGUCGGCAAACAAUGUAUCAUGUAACAGCCAAGCUCUUCUAAAGGGGAUGUUUUCAGUUUUAUGGGAGUUUUCAGUCCAGAAUGGAUGCAUUAGUGCAGGUUCAGUAAGAAAUAUGAUACCAGGAGUGAAUAGCAGUAAACAUCUUUUCAAGGGUGAAACUCAGGGUUUAAGUGAUACUUACGAAGAUACAGGCCUACAUUAAUGUUACCAAACGGAAUGAAUGGGCCAGAUGGUCAGCUGGUACAAAAGGAGCCUUGCUCUGUAGAAAAUGAAGAAUACUGAUUCUGUUUAUUGUUCAUCAUUGUUAAAUGGCUUGUCCAUUAAGCCACCGGGGAUACAUCGCUUUCCCUUCAGUGCUCAUGGCUACUAAUAUCAAAGGUUUAAUAAGAAGGAGAGUAUAAGGAUCUCAGACAAUCGUUGGAUACACCACGCUGUGACACAUGGGGGUGUGUUCCUUGUGCCCCACGUGCUCUUCUGUUCACACCAACCCAAGAGAGAGCACUCAUUUCACAGCUGCAGUAGGCUCUUGCUUUUGGCAGGAAGAUGUUAACCCCAGGAAGGCUGGAGAACAAGGGCAAGUGCAUGCAUCCAAAUGCACAGCCUAUUUCCCCAAACCUUCCCUCCUUCCUUAUACACACUUGGGCAGAUCCUCCUGAGGGAGGCUCUGGGGCAUGUGGAGACCUCACCAAGCUAAACACUGGAGUUCCUGCACUUUUACGUUUCUACUAGAAAUGAAGGAAAAGUUGUCUGAAAAGGCUUCGCAACCAUGACAUGUGAUAACCAGGACUUGCAGGAGUCUCGGCGAGAUGCUGUAGGAGUCUAAAUGGCAUCCUAACGGGAAAAGGGGCUGCUAACUGGUAAGUGGUUCGAUCAGUGACCAAGAGCCUCCCGCCCGUGCCCGGUCCGAGGUCAAACGAAAAAGCUCUUUCACACACCUACCCCUUCUUUUUGUUUCGCUUCUUUGUUGUGUAUAGGGAGUGUUAAUGACCUGUUAUGAGUGUUAAUUCACUUCCUAUAGCCCACACACUUUGCCUUUUCACAAGAUUCACUUUGACAGCUGAUGUGAACUGCUCAAAUUUAACUCAAGUGCAUUCACAGGAGCCGUAUGGAUUAUUCCUGGCAUUUUUAGGAUGUAUUCGAACGUCCAUAGAAGAGAAAUCAGAGGCUAUUCUUCAACAGUGACCCCCACUGGAGAGCAAGCCUUAACUUUGUUCUCCUCAUCUAAGGUAUUAAAUUAAUUAUGGAGAGCAAGAUAAGUAGCUCUCAAGAACAAUUUGUGCUUUAGUAACUCAUUUCAUGUAACCUAAGACCUCAUGCUUGAUCAUUGCUGUUGCAGUGAAUUUUUAAUAUGCUCUGCACAUGGGUUUUUCUGAAUUGCCACUUCAGUUUGAUUUCAUUUUACAAUGUUCAGUGUUGUAUGCUUGUCAAGGCAGACUUGCAGGAAUAGAAUUCUGUGUCUAGUUUUGAAAUGAAAACAAUAUUGUUGAGACAUUCUGCCCGUGGUAAGAUUUUCAGUAUUGUGACAAACGUUGAGAUAGUAACGAAUGUAGGUAAGGCUGUAGGAACAAGGUUAAAAAUACUGUUAUUUCCUCAUGCUUCUCAUUCUUCUUGAUUGAUUGACUAUCAAGGCUUUUUUUUUUUCUUUUUUUUUUUUAAUUAAGAGUUCCAAAAGUAGUACAAGUGCACAUCUGAAUAUCCUAGGUUUCACAUCACUCAUUUGAACACCAUUAUCCCGACACAUCCCCUAGACAACAGCCUCAGUGCAACAUCACUGCCUUGAGAUCAGGAGCUCAGGUGGGUCUAGGGUUUGAACAUAUAGGGGUAAAUAAGCUAGCUUUGUAAACUAGGGAAGGAGAACGACAUCUGAACAUUUCAUGGUCAGUUGUGCAAACACAAAGAAAGGAACAAUACAAAAUAAAUGACUGUGACCGGUUUCAACGCAGCGUAAAGAGGUCAGACCGAGGAAGACGUCGAGCCUUCGCGAGGAAGACUUCUGACUUCAUCCCCACGACCACCAGAGGGAGACCCCUACUACGGACAACGCAUGCGCCAGGGGAGGGGUAGUAUGUAAAUGACUUUCUGGAAGAACAAUGGAUACUUGAAUGGGUUCCAAGAAUUUCUGCUGAAUAUGUAUGGAUUUGGCUUAUAAAUAUGUAUUGCUUCUUCUGGCUUGUGUGUAGGUUUGGUGGAGCGAUCCCCCUGCACCUGAUUGAUUGCGUAAUUAUCAAAUAAAUCAUACCUGCUUUAUAA